CCUACGGGAGGCAGCAGUGGGGAAUAUUGCACAAUGGGGGAAACCCUGAUGCAGCGACGCCGCGUGAGUGAAGAAGUAAUUCGUUAUGUAAAGCUCUAUCAGCAGGGAAGAAAAUGACGGUACCUGAGUAAGAAGCCCCGGCUAACUACGUGCCAGCAGCCGCGGUAAUACGUAGGGGGCAAGCGUGAUCCGGAUUUACUGGGUGUAAAGGGAGCGUAGACGGCAGUGCAAGUCUGGAGUGAAAGGCGGGGGCUCAACCCCCGGACUGCUCUGGAAACUGUACGGCUGGAGUGCUGGAGAGGUAAGUGGAAUGCCUAGUGUAGCGGUGAAAUGCGUAGAUAUUAGGAGGAACACCAGUGGCGAAGGCGGCUUACAGGACUGUAACUGACGUUGAGGCUCGAAAGCGUGGGGAGCAAACAGGAUUAGAUACCCUGGUAGUC
rnacentral:rRNA from 1 species